AUUGAACGCUGGCGGCAGGCCUAACACAUGCAAGUCGAGCGAGCGGCGGACGGGUGAGUAAUGUCUGGGAAACUGCCUGAUGGAGGGGGAUAACUACUGGAAACGGUAGCUAAUACCGCAUACCAUCAGAUGUGCCCAGGUGGGCUUAGCUAGUAGGUGGGGUAACGGCUCACCUAGGCGACGAUCCCUAGCUGGUCUGAGAGGAUGAACAGCCACACUGUAACUGAGGCUCUGGCCAGACUCCUACGGGAGGCAGCAGGGGGGAAUAUUGCACAAGGGGUGCAAGCCUGAUGCAGCCAUGCAGGGUGUGGGAAGAAGGCCUUCGGGUUGUAAAGCACUUUCAGCGGGGAGGCGUUACCCGCAGAAGAAGCACCGGCUAACUCCGUGCCAGCAGCCGCGUAAUAC
rnacentral:rRNA from 1 species